GAAAUGCGAUAAGUAAUGUGAAUUGCAGAAUUCAGUGAAUCAUCGAAUCUUUGAACGCACAUUGCGCCCGCCAGUAUUCUGGCGGGCAUGCCUGUUCGAGCGUCAUUACAACCCUCAGGCCCCCGGGCCUGGCGUUGGGGAUCGGCGAGGCGCCCCCUGCGGGCACACGCCGUCCCCCAAAUACAGUGGCGGUCCCGCCGCAGCUUCCAUUGCGUAGUAGCUAACACCUCGCAACUGGAGAGCGGCGCGGCCACGCCGUAAAACACCCAACUUCUGAAUGUUGACCUCGAAUCAGGUAGGAAUACCCGCUGAACUUAA
rnacentral:misc_RNA from 1 species